rnacentral:rRNA from 1 species
UGGACAACAGGUAGAGAUUCCUGUACCAGUGCUAAUUGUUUAACCGAUGGGGUGACACAGAAGGAUAGGGAAUCGCACGAAUGGAAAUGUGCGUCCAAGCAGUGAGUGUGAGAAGUAGGCAAAUCCGCUUCUCGCGAAGCAUGAGCUGUGAUGGGGAAGGAAAUUAAGUACGGAAGUUCCUGAUUUCACGCUGUCAAGAAAAGCCUCUAGGAAGAGUAGUACUGCCCGUACCGCAAACCGACACAGGUAGAUGAGGAGAGAAUCCUAAGGUGAGCGAGAGAACUCUCGUUAAGGAACUCGGCAAAAUGACCCCGUAACUUCGGGAGAAGGGGUGCUCUAUUAGGGUGCAAGCCCGAGAGAGCCGCAGUGAAUAGGCCCAGGCGACUGUUUAGCAAAAACACAGGUCUCUGCAAAACCGUAAGGUGACGUAUAGGGGCUGACGCCUGCCCGGU